AGGAUGAACGCUGGCGGCGUGCCUAACACAUGCAAGUCGAACGCGCUCCAUUCGGUAGCAAUACUGAUGAAGAGCGAGUGGCGAACGGGUGAGUAACACAUGAGCAACCUGCCCCGAAGACUGGGACAACACCGGGAAACCGGUGCUAAUACCGGAUAUCCCUAUCGGACCGCAUGAUCUGAUAAGGAAAGUUUUUCGCUUCGGGAGGGGCUCGUGGCCUAUCAGCUAGUUGGUGAGGUAACGGCCCACCAAGGCAUCGACGGGUAGCUGGUCUGAGAGGACGAUCAGCCACACUGGGACUGAGACACGGCCCAGACUCCUACGGGAGGCAGCAGUGGGGAAUCUUGCGCAAUGGGCGAAAGCCUGACGCAGCAACGCCGCGUGGAGGACGAAGGCUUUCUGAGUUGUAAACUCCUUUCAGCAGGGACGAUAGUGACGGUACCUGCAGAAGAGCACCGGCCAACUACGUGCCAGCAGCCGA
rnacentral:rRNA from 1 species